AGAAUUAGGGUUUUAAACCCUGAACUGAACUUUUCCAUUUAGUCAGCAUUAGGCUUUUAAACCCUAAACUGAACUCUUUCCAUUCAGCCAGCAUUAGGGUUUUAAACCCUAAACUGAGCUUUUUCCAUGCAUGUCAGCAUUAGGGUUUUAAACCCUAAAUUGAACUCUUUCCUUUAGUCAGCAUUAGGGUUUUAAACCCUGAACUGAAAUUUUUCCUUUAAUCAGCCUUAGGGUUUUAAACCCUAAACUGAACUUUUUCCAUUCAGCCAGCAUUAGGGUUUUAAACCCUAAACUGAGCUUUUUCUUUCCAGUCAGCAUUAGGGCUUUAAACCCUAAACUAAACUUUUCCUUUCAGUCAGCAUUAGGGUUUUAAACCCUAAACUGAACUUUUCCCUUUCAGUCAGCAUUAGGGUUUUAAACCCUAAACUGAACUCUUUCCUUUAGUCAGCAUUAGGGUUUUAAACCCUGAACUGAACUUUUUCCUUUAAUCAGCCUUAGGGUUUUAAACCCUAAACUGAACUUUUUCCAUUCAGCCAGCAUUAGGGUUUUAAAC
rnacentral:lncRNA from 1 species